rnacentral:rRNA from 1 species
GUGGGGAAUUUUGGACAAUGGGCGCAAGCCUGAUCCAGCAAUGCCGCGUGCAGGAAGAAGGCCUUCGGGUUGUAAACUGCUUUUGUACGGAACGAAACGGUCCGGGUUAAUACCCUGGGCUAAUGACGGUACCGUAAGAAUAAGCACCGGCUAACUACGUGCCAGCAGCCGCGGUAAUACGUAGGGUGCAAGCGUUAAUCGGAAUUACUGGGCGUAAAGCGUGCGAAGGCGGUUUUGUAAGACAGGUGUGAAAUCCCCGGGCUCAACCUGGGAAUUGCGCUUGUGACUGCAAGGCUUGAGUGCGGCAGAGGGGGAUGGAAUUCCGCGUGUAGCAGUGAAAUGCGUAGAUAUGCGGAGGAACACCGAUGGCGAAGGCAAUCCCCUGGGCCUGCACUGACGCUCAUGCACGAAAGCGUGGGGAGCAAACAGGAUUAGAUACCCGAGUAGUCC